rnacentral:rRNA from 1 species
UGGGGAAUUUUGGACAAUGGGCGAAAGCCUGAUCCAGCAAUGCCGCGUGUGUGAAGAAGGCCUUCGGGUUGUAAAGCACUUUUGUCCGGAAAGAAAUCCUUGGCUCUAAUACAGUCGGGGGAUGGCGGUACCGGAAGAAUAAGCACCGGCUAACUACGUGCCAGCAGCCGCGGUAAUACGUAGGGUGCAAGCGUUAAUCGGAAUUACUGGGCGUAAAGCGUGCGCAGGCGGUUUGCUAGGACCGAUGUGAAAUCCCCGGGCUCAACCUGGGAACUGCAUUGGUGACUGGGCAGGCUAGAGUAUGGCAGAGGGGGGUAGAAUUCCACGUGUAGCAAGUGAAAGUGCGUAGAGAUGUGGAGGAAUACCGAUGGCGAAGGCAGCCCCCUGGGCC